rnacentral:rRNA from 1 species
CCUACGGGAGGCAGCAGUGGGGGAUAUUGCACAAUGGGGGAAACCCUGAUGCAGCGACGCCGCGUGUGGGAAGACGGUCCUCUGGAUUGUAAACCACUGUCCCCAGGGACGAAGAUGACGGUACCUGGGGAGGAAGCUCCGGCUAACUACGUGCCAGCAGCCGCGGUAAUACGUAGGGAGCGAGCGUUGUCCGGAAUUACUGGGGGGAAAGGGAGCGUAGGCGGGACUGCAAGUUGGGUGUCAAAUCUACCGGCUCAACCGGUAGCCGCACUCAAAACUGCAGUUCUUGAGUGAAGUAGAGGCAGGCGGAAUUCCUAGUGGAGCGGUGAAAUGCGUAGAUAUUAGGAGGAACACCAGUGGCGAAGGCGGCCUGCUGGGCUUUUACUGACGCUGAGGCUCGAAAGUGUGGGGAGCAAACAGGAUUAGAUACCCGAGUAGUC